rnacentral:rRNA from 1 species
CCUACGGGAGGCAGCAGUGGGGAAUAUUGCACAAUGGGGGAAACCCUGAUGCAACGACGCCGCGUGAGUGAAGAAGUAAUUCGUUAUGUAAAGCUCUAUCAGCAGGGAAGAAAAUGACGGUACCUGCGUAAGAAGCCCCGGCUAACUACGUGCCAGCAGCCGCGGUAAUACGUAGGGGGCACGCGUUAUCCGGAUUUACUGGGUGUAAAGGGAGCGUAGACGGUUUAGCAAGUCAGAAGUGAAAGCCCGGGGCUCAACUCCGGGACUGCUUUUGAAACUGUUUAACUAGAUUGCAGGAGAGGUAAGUGGAAUUCCUAGUGUAGCGGUGAAAUGCGUAGAUAUUAGGAGGAACACCAGUGGCGAAGGCGGCUUACUGGACUGUAAAUGACGCUGAGGCGCGAAAGCGUGGGGAGCAAACAGGAUUAGAUACCCUGGUAGUC